rnacentral:SRP_RNA from 2 species
GCCGGGCUUGGUAACGCGAGCCUGUGACUCAAGUGAGGGCUUUAAAGCGGGAUGGACUGUGUUUGAGCCCAGAUUGGUUGGGUCAAGUUGGUGCAAUAUCUGGCUUGCCCGUUCCAAGUUUGGAGUUGGGCCAUGUGGUUUAGGCGAAGGCCUGGGCUACUUGGCUCCUAAAGUUGAGGGCAAUGCGUUAGGCUGGUUUCACAGAGCUGCGAGAACCUCACGCUCUAGACAGUGGAAGGAUUACAUGUCGGUGCACCCUUGGCUCAGUUAACCAUCUGGGUUCCUUCUAAUGAACUCCCACUUUU